rnacentral:tRNA from 1 species
GGCGAGGUGUCCGAGUGGUUUAUGGGGGCCGUCUUAGAAACGGUUAAGGUGGUAGAGAUGCCGCCUUCGGGGGUUCGAAUCCCCCCCUCGGGA